CUUUUAAUUUGAAGCUCCUUGUUAAGUAUUAUAUAGCAAUAUGAAUUGUGGUUGUCUCGUACAACUUUACCCUAACUGGCGCCUACAAACAUGUUCGUAUUUAAAUGUCGGUUUCGGUGUCAGAAAUAUAAAAAGCUCGAUCGUCAUGGAGCCUCGUCCUGUUUCGAAAAGCUUUCAUGUGACUAGGAGUCAUGCUGCUUUUAUUGUGUGAACCGUUUAAAUUAAAACCAGAGACUUGAGCACUCUGUGCGAUGGAGUGACAUUAUCAGUGAUAUGGCGUUUGUUCCUGGUACUUGUAUGUCAUGCAGACCAGGCAAGUGUGUUUUGAGAGCUGGGAGACAUCAGGGUUAAUUUCUGUCACAACUAUCAUGAUGAGCAGCAGGUCCCCACCUUUCCAUGUGUGCUUGAUGGGGCAAUGUAUCUUCAGAACUAUAUUUGGCCAAAGAUAUGUGGAACAGUAAAAAACUAGACGUGAUGCUACCCUGUGCAUUCUGGAUCUCUUAUCACAUACAAUUAUUUUUUAUCUCUUACUUUGAAGCUCUUUUCAAAACUAUUUUUCUUACAAAACUGCGUGUUUAAAUCAUUUAUCUUUUGGACUCUUCCUCGGUCAAUAUGUCAGUGCCUAUCUAUCAGCCCUCUGGGGUAAAAUAAACAUUUUAAGAAGAGUAUUUGGAAGCAACCCAGAGUCUGGGUUGCAGAAAUUCAUUUAAAAGACAGUGCAACAAUCUCCUGAGUAAAAGGAAAAAGUAUUGAAAAUCAAUAUAAACCCAAGAAAACAGUGUUUAUUGAUCCACAAAGUUCAGCUUCACAGGCGUCUGUUUUUAUCUUCCAUGGGUAUGAAACAUGACCCCUGUCUGUUGAUAUAAAGAAAGAGAAUGCAGACAUGGUCAACAGAGAGUUGCUUCUUGGUUUGGGACAAAAACACUGUUCUGUAAAAGGCUCCAGAAAUUUCAUGCAGAGAAUCAAAUGUAACAUAGGAGGUAACUUCAGUCCUUGUAAAACUCACCAUCUUACAAUUUACUGUUCUAACACUGGGGGGAUAACAGCAUCUUGCUGCACAAAAAUAGGCAGAGGUUAUCCGAAAAAAGUGUUGUUUUUAAUUUUUGCAUCCUUUUUUUACAUAAAUGUUGGCAACAAUAAAGUUUAACAUGGAAAGUCCUCAAUUAAAAUGUUUCAAAACAAA